GCCAGCCGUUUGAGAGAAAGUUGGAUUUGUUGUGAGCUCAAUGGAUCCGAACCGGAUUAUACAAGCUUUAAAAGGAACUAUAGACCCGAACCUGAGAAUAGCAGCGGAGAAUGAGCUCAACCAGUCUUACAAGAUUAUCAACUUUGCUCCAACUCUGCUUCAGAUCAUCGUGUCUGAGCAGGUGGAGUUUCCUGUACGGCAGGCUGCUGCCAUCUACCUGAAGAACAUGGUGAGUCAGUAUUGGCAGGACCGCGAGCCCUUGCUGGGAGAGGUCAUGUUCCCCUUCAACAUCCAUGAGAAUGACCGCAGCCAAAUUCGUGACAACAUGGUGGAGGCUAUCAUUCGGUGUCCCGAGUCCAUACGGGCCCAGCUUACAGUUUGCUUGCGCACCAUCAUAAAGCAUGAUUUCCCCGGCCGCUGGACUGGCAUCGUUGAUAAGAUCAGCGUGUACCUGCAGUCUCAAAACAGUGGGAGCUGGUAUGGCAGCCUGCUCGCUCUCUAUCAGCUUGUCAAGACCUAUGAGUUUAGGAAAGCGGAGGAGAGGACGCCACUGCUGGCUGCUAUGCAGCUCUUUCUGCCUCGGAUCCAGCAGCUUGUAAGCCAGCUGUUGCCUGAUGCUACAGUGUUCUCAGUUCUUAUCCAGAAACAGAUCCUUAAGAUAUUUCAUGCGCUCGUGCAAUACUCCUUGCCUCUUCAGCUGCUUAAUAACACAGUGAUGACCCAGUGGAUGGAGAUCCUCAGAGCUGUCGUGGAUCGUGAUGUCCCUCCAGAGACUCUGGAAGUGGAUGAAGACGAUCGUCCAGAAUUAGUUUGGUGGAAGUGCAAAAAAUGGGCUCUACACAUCAUCACCAGGAUGUUUGAGCGGUAUGGAAGCCCAGGAAAUGUGACAAAGGAGUACUUUGAGUUUGCAGAUUUUUUCCUUAAGACAUACUCAGUUGGAAUUCAGCAGGUCUUGUUAAAGGUCAUAGACCAGCACAGGCAGAAGCAGUAUGUGAGUCCUCGUGUGCUACAGCAAGCUCUGAACUAUCUGACCCAGGGCAUUUCUCACUCCAUCACGUGGAAACAGAUGAAACCACACAUGCAGACUAUAACUCAGGAAGUGGUGUUCCCUCUAAUGUGCUAUAAGGACGAGGACGAGAGGCUGUGGCAGGAAGAUCCAUACGAGUACAUCCACAUGAAAUUUAAUAUGUAUGAUGAACAUGUAUUUCCUUCUACUGCGGCCAAGACUCUGCUGUGCAAAGCAUCCAGGAAGAGGAAGGAGGUUCUACCCCAGAUGAUGGAGUUCUGUCAUCAGAUUUUGGUGAACCCCAAUGCUGACCCCCGCAGGAAGGAUGGGGCACUGCAUGUCAUCGGUGCCUUAGCUGAUCCGUUACUAAAGAAGCAAGCGUACAGAGAUCAGAUGGAGCUUGUAUUACAAAACUAUGUGUUUCCUCUGCUCAACUCGAACCUGGGCUACCUGCGAGCCAGGUCCUGCUGGGUUCUGCACUGUUUUAGCCCUCUGAAGUUCCACAACGAGCUGGUCUUGAGGAACGCAGUGGAACUGGUCAAACAAGACCUCAUUGCUGACCAGGAGAUGCCAGUCAAAGUGGAGGCUGCCAUCGCUCUUCAGACUCUAGUCAGCAACCAGGAGCAAGCUAAAAUCUACAUAAGACCCUUCAUCAGGCCUGUAAUGCAGGAGCUGCUGCACGUCAUCAAAGAGACGGAGAAUGAUGACCUCACAAGUGUGAUUCAGAAGCUGAUCUGUGAAUACAAUCAGGAAGUGGCGGCAAUAGCAGUUGACAUGACUCAGAACCUGGCAGAAAUCUUCAGCAAGGUUCUGCAGAGUGAAGAGUAUGAGGAGAGUGAAGACAAGACUGUAAUGGCUCUGGGUAUCCUUAGCACCAUAGACACUAUCCUCACCGUCAUGGAGGACCACAAAGAGAUCACCCAGCAGUUGGAAGGGAUCUGCCUCCAGGUGAUCGGCCUUGUGCUUCAGAAGCCCAUCAUAGGUAUGGCAGAGUUUUAUGAGGAGAUUCUGUCUCUAGCAUUUGGCCUCACAUGCCAGACCAUUUCCCCUCAGAUGUGGCAGCUGCUGGGCGUGCUUUAUGAAGUCUUUCAGCAUGAUUGCUUCGACUAUUUCACAGAUAUGAUGCCCCUCUUGCAUAAUUAUGUAACUGUGGACACAGACACACUACUCUCCAAUCCCAAACACCUAGAGGUCAUCUACACCAUGUGCAAAAAGGUCCUGACAAGUGAUGCAGGGGAGGAUGCAGAAUGCCAUGCUGCCAAACUGCUGGAGGUCAUAAUAUUACAGUGUAGAGGUCGAGGCAUUGACCAGUGUAUCCCUCUGUUUGUGGAAGCGGUGUUGGAACGCUUGACGCGUGGUGUGAAAUCCACAGAGCUGCGCACCAUGUGUCUACAGGUGGCUAUUGCUGCAUUGUAUUACAAUCCCACACUGCUCAUAAACACUCUGGAGAACAUGCGCUUCCCUCACAGCCCCGAACCCAUCACCGCCCAGUUUAUCAACCAGUGGAUGAAUGACACGGAGUUCUUUCUCGGCCUGCAUGACCGCAAGAUGUGCAUUAUUGGCCUGAGUCUUCUGAUGGACCUGUCCAAAAGGCCGGCUGUUCUGGACUCUGUGGCCAGUCAGAUUCUCCCCUCGGUUCUGCUCCUGUUCCUGGGCCUGAAGCAUAUCUACACCUCUCGAAUGCUCAACAAGCCUGAGCACUUCUCUAGAGCACGGGGAACUGAUGAGGAUGAAAAUGAGGAGAUUCCUAGUGAUGAAGAUGAAGUAGCAGAAAAGAGCUUCAGUAUGCAGCCCUCCAGCGCUCCCAGUGGAAACGGCAAUGAAGACGAGGAUGAUGACGACGAUGACGAGGAGUACUGGGACGAGGAGGGUGUUGAAGGCACUGCGCUAGAGGAGUACAGCACGCCACUGGACUAUGACAACGGAGAAGACGAGUAUCAGUUCUUUUCAGCCUCACUGCUUCGAGUGCAGAGCACAGAUGCUCAGUGGUAUCAGAUGUUAACACAGUCUCUGAGUGAUGAUCAGAAGAAGCAGCUGCAGGAGAUCUACAGCCUGGCCCAGCAGAGAAGAAGCGCAGCAGGCAAAAGCUUGUGAUCGAGAUGGAUAAAUAUAUAGAUAGAUUUAUCAAUUAAAUCUCACCUGGAGAAGAGGAGGGCUGUGCACGUGUCUGAAGAGGCUUGUACAGCGAUGUGCUCUCCUCGGAUGUAAUCGGGUACCCCUCAGCACUGGAAGACAAAUUGAGUGCACUAAAUCGGGAGGAAAAUGGAAAGAACAUGCAUAAAAAAAUGCAUAUCACAGCCAUGAAUUAGAGAUCUUUUCUGUGUGUGAUGUACCAGUGCAGCUGGAUGGAAAAAGUUUGUAGGUAUAUGGACCUGCAUUGAAUUAAACUCUGUAGUCCUAAUUUUACAAGGAUUCAACAGACCAACGACUCCCAACUGAAGAUUUUUUAUUUCAACACGGACUGGAGGGGAGAGUGAGGAGGAAGCGAGAACCCCAUCAGGACCACUGAAGCACUUGACUGGACAGAGACAAAUUGUCCUAGUAUGAGACAGAUGCAUUGCUCUUGUCCUACCACAGUCUGACUCACUAGUACUUCAUGUAUUGGGUGGGUGGGGGAUGGCAGUAUUGAUAUUUGUAUGUGUGAGCAAGUGUAAAUGAGACCCUGAACAACUCAUCCUCCAGCUCACUGAAGGAGUAGAAACAUGCAGGGGUGGUUGAGUGAGUUGGUCUUUGCUGUCGAUGUUUCGUAGGUAUGUUCAUGUCUAGUGAUUUACACUGAGAAGACUGUGCUUUAUAUUUGUUACAUGUUUGUAUGUUAGAUUUUUGUUUUUGUAACGGUUUUGAAAAAUUAACUUAAGUCAUAAAAAUUAGUCUAACACUA